AUUGAACGCUGGCGGCAGGCCUAACACAUGCAAGUCGAACGAGUGGCGGAAGGGUGAGUAAUGUCUGGGAAACUGCCCGAUGGAGGGGGAUAACUACUGGAAACGGUAGCUAAUACCGCAUACCAUCGGAUGUGCCCAGAUGGGAUUAGCUAGUAGGUGGGGUAACGGCGCACCAAGGCUACGAGCCCUAGCUGGUCUGAGAGGAUGACCAGACACACUGGAACUGAUACACGGUCCAGACUCCUACGGGAGGCAGCAGUGGGGAAUAUUGCACAAUGGGCGCAAGCCUGAUGCAGCCAUGCCGCGUGUAUGAAGAAGGCCUUCGGGUUGUAAAGUACUUUCAGCGAGGAGGCGUUACUCGCAGAAGAAGCACCGGCUAACUCCGUGCCAGCAGCCGCGGUAAUAC
rnacentral:rRNA from 1 species